UAGGGAAUCUUCCACAACGGGCGAAAGCCUGAUGGAGCAACGCCGCGUGUGUGAUGAAGGCUUUCGGGUCGUAAAGCACUGUUGUAUGGGAAGAACAGCUAGAAUAGGAAAUGAUUUUAGUUUGACGGUACCAUACCAGAAAGGGACGGCUAAAUACGUGCCAA
rnacentral:rRNA from 1 species